GAUGAAGAACGUAGCGAAAUGCGAUAAGUAAUGUGAAUUGCAGAAUUCAGUGAAUCAUCGAAUCUUUGAACGCACAUUGCGCCCGCCAGUAUUCUGGCGGGCAUGCCUGUUCGAGCGUCAUUUCAACCAUCAAGCCCCAGGCUUGUGUUGGGGACCUGCGGCUGCCGCAGGCCCUGAAAACCAGUGGCGGGCUCGCUGUCACACCGGGCGUAGUAGAUUUUAUCUCGCUCUGGGCGUGCUGCGGGUUCCGGCCGUUAAAAAACCCUUUUAACCCAAGGUUGACCUCGGAUCAGGUAGGAAUACCCGCUGAACUUAAGCAUACAAUAAGCGGAGGA
rnacentral:misc_RNA from 1 species